GCGAGCCGGAGCGCGAUACACUGUCACGGCAGAGGAAACUCCUCCCUCCUGCAGGAAGCGCGGCCCGGAGAUGGGUAGUCGGAGACGGCUGGCAACGGUACAGAAAACAGCCCGCCCGGUAAUACGGUGAUGGUGAGAGUCGGAGGUUUCGGUAAACGGGCAUGAAAAAGCCGCCCCGCGUGGAGCAAGGCCAAAUCAGACCACACGUCCUGCUACGGGUCUAGGUAGGCCGCAUAGCGAAAUAUCGCGAGAACAGAAGGAGGGUUACUCCCGGCACGC
rnacentral:RNase_P_RNA from 2 species